rnacentral:rRNA from 1 species
CGAACGGGGAUUAUUUUGACAGAGACUUCGGUUGAAGUCGUUAUAAUCCUAGUGGCGGACGGGUGAGUAACGCGUGGGUAACCUGCCUCACACUGGGGGAUAACAGUCAGAAAUGACUGCUAAUACCGCAUAAGCGCACGGGAUUGCAUGAUCCAGUGUGAAAAACUCCGGUGGUGUGAGAUGGACCCGCGUUGGAUUAGCCAGUUGGCAGGGUAACGGCCUACCAAAGCGACGAUCCAUAGCCGGCCUGAGAGGGUGGACGGCCACAUUGGGACUGAGACACGGCCCAGACUCCUACGGGAGGCAGCAGUGGGGAAUAUUGCACAAUGGGGGAAACCCUGAUGCAGCGACGCCGCGUGAAGGAAGAAGUAUCUCGGUAUGUAAACUUCUAUCAGCAGGGAAGAAAAUGACGGUACCUGACUAAGAAGCCCCGGCUAACUACGUGCUAGCAGCCGCGGUAAUACGUAGGGGGCAAGCGUUAUCCGGAUUUACUGGGUGUAAAGGGAGCGUAGACGGAGCAGCAAGUCUGAUGUGAAAGGCGGGGGCUCAACCCCCGGACUGCAUUGGAAACUGUUGAUCUUGAGUACCGGAGAG